GAAGUAGACUGAGAAAACCACCCAACUGAAUCUUUGCUGUUUCUUACAAAAAAGAAAGAAUUUGUCAGAGGGCUCUCUCCUCAGCAUAGGACAUGAGGAGUUCAGCCCUCCCAAAGAGUCACCUCAGGACAAGAACAAGGACUAUGCUUUAACAAAAGAAUUCAUCUUCUCCAAUUCCUGCAGUUAAUUAAAAUGCUUUGGUUC